AUGCUGUGAAGGAGGAGGGCGCUGAUCACGGCUGGAUGAUGGAGAAAUGAAGCCGCGGACGCUGUGGAGGAGGCGGUGAUCGCACGGACGGCUGCUGAGAAUGGACACGAUGGAGGAUCGCCACAGACGCUGGGAUCAUGAACACGGGAGAAUCACGCUGAGAGCUGGACGCGUGAAUGGAGGAGGCGGACGCUGGGGCUGGGAUUGGCUUGGACCGUGGGAUUCUCGGACGCAAGUUCCGGCUGUGAAUUGGCUG
rnacentral:lncRNA from 1 species